GUCUUGGCCUGCUCUCUGGGAAAAUCCAUCCUCAACUCAGCCUCUGACGUGAAGCAGGACCCUCGAGAAGAGUGAAGCCCAGGGUCCCUUUCCCCAGCACGGUCCUCCAAGCAACUGUAUAGUGACAUCAAGCAACAGAAAGGAAAUGCCCCAUCACCACUACCAACACAUCACACACACAUACUAAAUGAUGAUGAUGAUGAUGAUGAUGAUGAUGAUGACGAUGACGACGACGACGUUAUAUGUGGUGGUGUAUGCCUUCAAUACAAGCACUUGGGAGGCAGAAGCAUAUGGAUCUAGGUCAGCCUGAUCUACAAAGUGAGUUCUCUAGGUCAGCCAGAGAUACAUACUGAG
rnacentral:lncRNA from 1 species